rnacentral:rRNA from 1 species
GACGAACGCUGGCGGCGUGCUUAACACAUGCAAGUCGAACGGAAAGGCCCCUUUGGGGGUACUCGAGUGGCGAACGGGUGAGUAACACGUGAGUAACCUGCCCUUGACUUCGGGAUAACUUCAGGAAACUGGGGCUAAUACCGGAUAGGAAUCCUUGCUGCAUGGUGGGGGUUGGAAAGCUUCGGCGGUUUUGGAUGGACUCGCGGCUUAUCAGCUUGUUGGUGGGGUAGUGGCUUACCAAGGCUUUGACGGGUAGCCGGCCUGAGAGGGCGACCGGCCACAUUGGGACUGAGAUACGGCCCAGACUCCUACGGGAGGCAGCAGUGGGGAAUAUUGCACAAUGGGCGGAAGCCUGAUGCAGCAACGCCGCGUGCGGGAUGACGGCCUUCGGGUUGUAAACCGCUUUCAGCAGGGGCGAAGCUUGUGGUGACGGUACCUGCAGAAGAAGCACCGGCUAACUACG